CAAGCUGCAGGACAGAGAGAGAUAUGAGGGUUAGGCAACGUGUUACAUUACAGUAUACGAAUAAUAAUAACGGCAAUAUUUAACUGUUCACACAGGCUUUGUUGUUACAUGGGAAAUGUUGCUGGAGUGUGAGGUGAAGCGCUGCACUCCUCUUCUGGCUGCCCCACUAAACAAACUUUUUUUUUAAAGUCAGGUUUUUACAAAUUAUGAACAAUACAUGACAACAAAGAAGAGGUGACAUCCUGCUAGAGCCGGAGGCCCCAACCGUGCAGUCACUGACAGACAGACAGACACUGGUCAGAGCUGGUCUAAGUCUCUGUUCACUUCCUAGCCCCCCCCCCCCCUCCCUCUCCUGUGCUCGGAGACUGUGGAUGGUGAACCCAGUGAACCCAGCAGCAACCAGACCAGACCUACCUUACCCCACGCCAAGAAACAAUCCCCUCACACUCAGUUACCCUGGGCUUGCAUCUCCCUCUUGCAAGUCCGCACUGUGCAACUAAGGAGGGCACAUUGGACUUUUCAGUGGAGGUCAAUGAACACUCUUGCUCAAAGACAUUUAUAGCAUCUAAAUAACUUCCAUGUGAUUAUUAUGCAAUUUAUUUAAUGACUCCGAGUAGCAGUUCUAAGCAGCAAUUUUUUUAUAGAUUUUGCUAGUAUGGCAGUUAUUCUGCUUACACAAGUGCUGUUAUUCACUGACUGAGCCCAGGAUGAAAACAGGACGAAAUGUGUGUCCUUUCACAUGGCGAGUCUGUCCGUCUGUCCACCCUCUAGGCUCUUGCCUGGCAGUAAGCAGCAACAUUAAGAGUAGCUAGCUGCACACCGUCUCUUAACAGGGUGCCAAACGGUUCUAGUUAAUGGAAGAGAGUGGCUAGGACCUGAAUUGAGCCAAUACACUAAAAACCAUCACAUUUUAGACCAUUAGCUGAGGGUUUGGCUACUUAUUAACCGAAGUCAACGGAAAGUAACUACUAAAUGGCAAAGCAGAGAAUCCAAUAUCGCCACAGAUGAAUUCUCUUGAUUCGUCAAACAAAAAGCCACUCAUAAUAUAUUCUAGGCCUAGCAACAUGGAAACUAGCUAGGUAGCCAUGGCAUGAGCUCUCUUUUCAGUACAGGCCAGGACAGGCUUCCCCCCACACCAAACAACCCAGAGCUGGAGAAGAGACCUCAACCACACCUAUAGGACUCUAUUCUCAGCACUUAUGACCUAGAGAUCCUUUACUCCUAACCGUAUGAGUAAGAAUAAAAGCUAAUGCAUGAAGCCCCAUAAUAGUCUCACUUAGUUGACACAUUUCGGACACCCUCAUGGAGCGGUCCUAACAAGUUACCAGCAGGUGUCUUGAUAACAGAAAAAUGCAGCGAGUCAGUGGUUCCUGCCACACAAUGCAAUUGCAUUGGAGUUGUUCAAAUAAUGUUUUGAUAUUUCUCCAUGAUCAAAACAUGAAUAAUCUAGACUUUACAUGCAGCAAUUUUGACAACGAUAUACCUGAAUACUUUAAACCCAUUUUGUGUCUUUGAUUGUGUUAGAUUAUACGUUUCAAACAUUGAACAGUAUUGCAAUAAAGACAAGUGACUUGAUGCC